rnacentral:rRNA from 1 species
UACGGGGGGGGCAAGCGUUGUUCGGAAUUACUGGGCGUAAAGGGUUCGUAGGUGGCUCGCUAAGUCAGACGUGAAAUCCCUCAGCUUAACUGGGGAACUGCGUCUGAGACUGGCAAACUCGAGUGCAGGAGAGGAACGCGGAAUUCCAGGUGUAGCGGUGAAAUGCGUAGAUAUCUGGAGGAACACCGGUGGCGAAGGCGGCGUUCUGGACUGCAACUGACACUGAGGAACGAAAGCCAGGGGAGCAAACGGG